rnacentral:rRNA from 1 species
GAACGCCUCUAAGUCAGAAUCCGUGCUAGAAACGAUGAUGUUGGUCCCGCACAUAUUAGCUGUGUUAAAAUAGAGCUUUGCUCGUGAACCAAAUCAGACAGACGUGGGUAUUGCAGUGGAAAUCUGUGGUAUCUAGUUUGUGAAUUGUAAUUACCAUAUGGGCGGGGGUGAAUCCUUUGCAGACGACUUGAAUGGGAACGGGGUACUGUAAGCAGUAGAGUAGCCUUGUUGCUACGAUCUGCUGAGGUUAAGCCCUUGUUCUAAAGAUUUGU